UGGCUCAGAUUGAACGCUGGCGGCAGGCCUAACACAUGCAAGUCGAACGGUAACAGGAAGAAGCUUGCUUCUUUGCUGACGAGUGGCGGACGGGUGAGUAAUGUCUGGGAAACUGCCUGAUGGAGGGGGAUAACUACUGGAAACGGUAGCUAAUACCGCAUAACGUCGCAAGACCAAAGAGGGGGACCUUCGGGCCUCUUGCCAUCGGAUGUGCCCAGAUGGGAUUAGCUUGUUGGUGGGGUAACGGCUCACCAAGGCGACGAUCCCUAGCUGGUCUGAGAGGAUGACCAGCCACACUGGAACUGAGACACGGUCCAGACUCCUACGGGAGGCAGCAGUGGGGAAUAUUGCACAAUGGGCGCAAGCCUGAUGCAGCCAUGCCGCGUGUAUGAAGAAGGCCUUCGGGUUGUAAAGUACUUUCAGCGGGGAGGAAGGGAGUAAAGUUAAUACCUUUGCUCAUUGACGUUACCCGCAGAAGAAGCACCGGCUAACUCCGUGCCAGCAGCCGCGGUAAUACGGAGGGUGCAAGCGUUAAUCGGAAUUACUGGGCGUAAAGCGCACGCAGGCGGUUUGUUAAGUCAGAUGUGAAAUCCCCGGGCUCAACCUGGGAACUGCAUCUGAUACUGGCAAGCUUGAGUCUCGUAGAGGGGGGUAGAAUUCCAGGUGUAGCGGUGAAAU
rnacentral:rRNA from 1 species